rnacentral:rRNA from 1 species
ACACGUGGCUAACCUACCCUUAGGACGGAGACAACCCCGGGAAACUGGGGCUAAUACCCGAUAGGUGAGGGGGCCUGGAAUGGUUCUUCACUUAAAAGGCGUUGAAACCAUGCUUUUCAACGUCGCCUAAGGAUGGGGCCGCGACCGAUCAGGUCGUUGGUGAGGUAACGGCUCACCAAGCCUAUAACCGGUACGGGCCGUGAGAGCGGGAGCCCGGAGAUGGACACUGAGACAAGGGCCCAGGCCCUACGGGGCGCAGCAGUCGCGAAAACUCCGCAAUGCGCGAAAGCGUGACGGGGCUACCCCGAGUGCCGUCCGCUGAGGAAUGGCUUUUCCCCGUGUGUAAUGAGCCGGGGGAAUAAGGAGAGGGCAAGUCUGGUGUCAGCCGCCGGGGUAAUACCAGCUCUCCGAGUGGUAGGGACGACUAUUGGGCUUAAAGCGUCCGUAGCCGGCUUAGCAAGUCUUCUGUUAAAUUCAGCGACCUAAUCGUUGAGUUGCGGGGGAUACUACUAGGCUAGGAGGCGAGAGAGGCCGACGGUAUCCCGGGGUAGGGGUGAAAUCCUAUAAUCCCGGGAGGACCACCAGUGGCGAAGGCUGUCGGCUAGAACGCGCUCGACGGUGAGGGACGAAAGCUGGGGGAGCGAACCGGAUUAGAUACCCGGGUAGUCCCAGCUGUAAACGAUGCGGGCUAGGUGUUAGGGUGGCUACGAGCCACUUCAGUGCCGCAGGGAAGCCAUUAAGCCCGCCGCCUGGGGAGUACGGCCGCAAGGCUGAAACUUAAAGGAAUUGGCGGGGGAGCACCACAAGGCGUGAAGCUUGCGGUUCAAUUGGAGUCAACGCCGGGAACCUUACCGGGGGCGACAGCAGAAUGAAAGCCAGAUUGAAGGUCUUGCUGGACAAGCUGAGAGGAGGUGCAUGGCCGUCGCCAGUUCGUGCCGUGAGGUGUCCUGUUAAGUCAGGCAACGAUCGAGAUCCGCAUCCUUAGUUGCUACCGACCGAAAGGCGGGCACUCUAAGGGGACUGCCGCCGAUAAGGCGGAGGAGGGAGCGGGCCACGGCAGGUCAGUAUGCUCCAAAUCCCCCGGGCCACACGCGAGCUGCAAUGGCAGGGACAAUGGGUUCCCACCUCGAAAGGGGGAGGUAAUCCCGAAACCCUGCCUCAGUUGGGAUCGAGGGCUGCAACCCGCCCUCGUGAAC